UACGAAGGGGGGCUAGCGUUGUUCGGAUUUACUGGGCGUAAAGCGCACGUAGGCGGAUCGUUAAGUCGGGGGUGAAAUCCUGGAGCUCAACUCCAGAACUGCCUUCGAUACUGGCGAUCUUGAGUCCGGAAGAGGUGAGUGGAACUCCUAGUGUAGAGGUGGAAUUCGUAGAUAUUAGGAAGAACACCAGUGGCGAAGGCGGCUCACUGGUCCGGUACUGACGCUGAGGUGCGAAAGCGUGGGGAGCAAACAGG
rnacentral:rRNA from 1 species